rnacentral:rRNA from 1 species
GAUGAACGCUGACAGAAUGCUUAACACAUGCAAGUCGAUGGGGAAGUGGUGCUUGCCCCAUGGCAACCAUGGCGGACGGGUGAGUAACGCGUAAGGGACUUACCUGCAGGACUGGGAUAACAGGGGGAAACUCCUGACAAGACCGGAUAAUGUCAUGGAGCUGCAUGGCUUUAUGAUGAAAGGAGACGCCUGCGGAGAGCCUUGCGUCCUAUUAGCUAGUUGGUGAGGUAAUGGCUCACCAAGGCGAAGAUAGGUAGCCGGCCUGAGAGGGUGGACGGCCACAAGGGGACUGAGAUACGGCCCUUACUCCUACGGGAGGCAGCAGUGGGGAAUAUUGGACAAUGGGGGCAACCCUGAUCCAGAAAUUCUGUGUGCACGAAGAAGGUUUUCGGAUUGUAAAGUGCUUUCAGCAGGGAAGAAGUAAGUGACGGUACCUGCAGAAGAAGCGACGGCUAAAUACGUG